rnacentral:rRNA from 1 species
GAUGAACGCUGGCGGCGUGCCUAAUACAUGCAAGUCGAGCGAACAGACGACGAGCUUUCUCCUCGGACGUUAGCGGCGGACGGGGGAGGAACACGUGGAUAACCUACCUAUAAGACUUGGAUAACUUCGGGAAACCGGAGCUAAUACCGGAUAAUAUAUUGAACCUCAUGGUUCAAUAGUGAAGGACGGUUUUGCUGUCACUGAUAGAUGGGUCCGCGCCGCAUUAGCUAGUUGGUAAGGUAACGGCUUACCAAGGCGGCGAUGAGUAGCCGACCUGAGAGGGUGAUCGGCCACAAUGGAACUGAGAAACGGCCCAGAAUACUACGGGAGGAAGCAGUAGGGAAUAUUACGCAACGGGGGACAGACUGCCGGAGCAACGCCGCGUGAGUGAUGAUGGUCUUCGGCUCGUAAAAAUCUGUUAUCAGGGAAGAAGCAAUGUGUAAGUAACUAUGCACGUCUUGACGGUACCUAAUCAGAAAGCCACGGCUAACUACGUG